UGGGUAGCCCUCAAGGCUGAAGUCUUCUAUGUAUUCACAAAACAGCUACAGCACAGGCAAUAGCAGUGCAAAAUUAAUCACACUGCUUAGAAAACUGCUGCACAGAAGAAACCAUAUUAGCCACCAGAAGGUGCUUCAACUUUUGUGUCAUUCAGCUUGAUCCAAA
ensembl:misc_RNA